GUAGGUAGAAGCCCGCUGGAUUGGGUGUUUAGCUGUUAACUAAAUUUGUUAUGGGAUCGAGGCCCAUUUGCCUA
rnacentral:tRNA from 1 species